rnacentral:rRNA from 1 species
UGGGGAAUAUUGGACAAUGGGCGAAAGCCUGAUCCAGCCAUGCCGCGUGUGUGAAGAAGGCCUUUUGGUUGUAAAGCACUUUAAGUGGGGAGGAAAAGCUUGUGGUUAAUACCCAUAAGCCCUGACGUUACCCACAGAAUAAGCACCGGCUAACUCUGUGCCAGCAGCCGCGGUAAUACAGAGGGUGCAAGCGUUAAUCGGAAUUACUGGGCGUAAAGCGCGCGUAGGUGGUUAUUUAAGUCAGAUGUGAAAGCCCCGGGCUUAACCUGGGAACUGCAUCUGAUACUGGAUAACUAGAGUAGGUGAGAGGGGAGUAGAAUUCCAGGUGUAGCGGUGAAAUGCGUAGAGAUCUGGAGGAAUACCGGUGGCGAAGGCAGCUCCCUGGCAUCAUACUGACACUGAGGUGCGAAAGCGUGGGUAGCAAACAGGAUUAGAUACCCUGGUAGUCCACGCCGUAAACGAUGUCUACCAGUCGUUGGGUCUUUUAAAGACUUAGUGACGCAGUUAACGCAAUAAGUAGACCGCCUGGGGAGUACGGCCGCAAGGUUA